rnacentral:rRNA from 1 species
CCUACGGGCGGCAGCAGUGAGGAAUAUUGGUCAAUGGGCGGAAGCCUGAACCAGCCAAGUCGCGUGAGGGAAUAAUGCCCUACGGGUCGUAAACCUCUUUUGCCGGGGAGCAAGGUCGGGGACGUGUCCCGGCCCGGAGAGUACCCGGAGAAAAGGCAUCGGCUAACUCCGUGCCAGCAGCCGCGGUAAUACGGGGGAUGCGAGGUUUAUCCGGAUUUAUUGGGUUUAAGGGGUGCGUAGUGGGGCGUUUAAGUCAGCGGUAAAAAUUCGGGGCUCAACCCCGUCCGGCCGUUGAAACUGGGGGCCUUGAGUGGGCGAGAAGAAGGCGGAAUGCGUGGUGUAGCGGUGAAAUGCAUAGAUAUCACGCAGAACCCCGAUUGCGAAGGCAGCCUUCUGGCGCCCUACUGACGUUGAGGCACGAAAGUGCGGGGAUCGAACAGGAUUAGAUACCCUUGUAGUC